rnacentral:rRNA from 1 species
AUUGAACGCUGGCGGCAGGCCUAACACAUGCAAGUCGAACGAGUGGCGGACGGGUGUGUAAUGUCUGGGAAACUGCCCGAUGGAGGGGGAUAAAUACUGGAAACGGUAGAUAAUACCGCAUACCCUCGGAGGUGCCCACAUGGGAUUAGCUAGUAGGUGGGGUAACGGCUCACCUAGGCGACGAUCCCUAGCUGGUCUGAGAGGAUGACCAGCCACACUGGAACUGAGACACGGUCCAGACUCCUACGGGAGGCAGCAGUGGGGAAUAUUGCACAAUGGGCGCAAGCCUGAUGCAGCCAUGCCGCGUGUAUGAAGAAGGCCUUCGGGUUGUAAAGUACUUUCAGCGAGGAGGCGUUACUCGCAGAAGAAGCACCGGCUAACUCCGUGCCAGCAGCCGCGGUAAUAC